AGGUAUGUCCUCAGGCCCGAGGAACUCUUAGAUUGAUCUUUGAGGGUGUGUGUGUGUGUAUCUGAUGUGUGUUGUGCUUCAUGUGUAUCUGAUGUGUGUGUGGAUGCAACCGUGCACAUGCCACAGUUUGCAUGUGGAGAUCAGAAGACAGGUUUGAGAAUUACAUCAUCAAAAUUGUGUAGUAGUACUCUGGGAGCCAUCUCUUUAACUUGAGAAUUGAGCUCUCUCUCUCACGCACUCUUUCUUUCUAUCUCUCCCUCCCCUUUCUCUCUGUGUACAUGUGUGCAUGUUUAUCUAAAGUACAGAGUUCUCUUCCCUUUAUGCUUUGGAAAGAAACUGAAACAAUACAACAUAAACCAGCAAACUGACUUUAUGUUCUUACAUAUUAUCUCUUGUGCAAGGUGAAUUCAAAAGAAAAAGUCAACCUGUGAGCUCUUUGACCAACCAAGAAAGAACACUUCACUUCUGAGUUUAUUUACUAUUUUGUAUAAUUUUUUUUUAAUUUAUGGGUAUGAGUUUUGCAUAUCUGUGUACUAUGUGCAUGCCUAGUGCCUCAGAAGGUCAGAAGAGGGCGUUGGAUCCCCUGGAACUGGAGUUAUGGAUAUUUGUGAGUCACCACGUGGAUUCUGGGAAGCAAACCUGGGUCUCCUGAGAGAUCAAUAAGUGCUCUUAACUGCUGAGCUUUGCCUCUAGCCCUGGCUACUGAGCUUCUAACACAUACUCACAAGCAAUGUAUGUACAGACCGAUUCCAACAUGCACUGCAGGAAAUCUGUACUGCAGUAUGUGAUACACCCAGAAGAUAGGGUGAUCAACCUUAAGAGCUAGAGUUGCCUUUUAAAAGACUCACUCUUCUUGGGAUGGUGGCAUGAGUGGGUGUGGGGACCAGAAGCUGCUACUCACAUGACAUAUUACUGAGAGGGUACCCAGGAUCUCAGUCAUACCCUGGCCCUACCCCCUGCCUUGUAAGAACUGCUCUUUGGCACCUUAUCCAGGAGGCCCUAUUCACGUUUACCCAGGGACACUUCUGUGGUAACGUGAGGUAGCAUUGACUGAGUCCUGGCUUUUUUCUGAACUGUGGUAACUGAGGCAUUUGCUAUCCUUAUUUCAGUCUUUAGUUUACAGACCACUUUCACUCAUAAUGUGUCCUUGGGUCCUUAGAGCACUCUUGGGAGGAGGUAGGUAUUACUCACUGUGUCUGUCCUCCAAACAUUUGUGCCUCUGUUUUCCCGUUGUAAAAACUAAAGCAAAUAUUUACAGUGAACUCCAUGAAGCGGAAGACCUUGUGAUGGACUCCACCAGAGUAACCCCGUCUACCUCCCUGAAUGUUAGGUUCACGUCGGUUUUCCUUGACAUUCUUGCCUUAACGUGGAGUGCUCUGACACAGCAAGUGCCUCGAUGCUUUGCUCUGUCCUCUAAGAAGUGUUCUGUGUAGCUUCAGGCCUCCAAUCCAGACUCUGCAACUUUGUAUGUCUUAAAAUCUUGCAAUUACUACAUUUUGGGUCUUUAGGGAAGACUUAGAUGUUAAAUAUGAAUUUUAUCAUAAUUGAAAAACAAACCCAGUCCCCACAGUUUUAAACUAUGACUUACAGUUGGAUUUAUAAGAUUUAUUUUUUAUGUGUUCAAAUGUAUGUGUUUGGUGUGUGUGUGUGUACACAUGUCACAAAGGAUAUGUGAAACUAAGAAGACAACUAUGAUGAAUCCUUCCACCUUUAUAUGAGACCAGGGCAUUGAACUGGGGUGUUCAGGCUUGCUAAGCUUUGUCUGCUGAGUCUACUAACUGACCCUAUUGUAAUAUUCUAAAUGUGUAGCACACAUGUAUCCAGUUUCAGCUAAAGAAAGGACAGAGGAGACGUAGUUAAUCCUGUUUUAGAGGAAGGGAAAUAUAUUUGGGAUGCGUCCAACUUCCCAAACUGUUGAAGAUGAGGUGUUUGUUAUCCAAGCACAAAUCACUUCAGAAAUUGUUGUAAAUAGCCCAGGUUAUUAACCGUUAAUUCGUUAAUUUCGUGUGUCUGUGUGUGGGUAGGUGAUCCCAUUACCUUUUGCAUGCUAAACAAAGGCUUUAUCACUGAACUGUAGCCUGCCUAAAUUUUGAACCGUACUUAAGCAAAUACUGAGCAAGCAAAAUCGUCAUUCAUCAGUUACCUUGGCUCUCUCCUGUCAAACAGCUUUCAGGAGGUCUAGACUUAUGACAAACCUCGGAGAGCUACUGGAGGAAACCCAGAGCAGUUUUGGUGACCUAUGCCCUUUCCUUUCACCUUUUCUCUUUGGGUGAUCAUCAGAUUCUUUUAAAAUCAACUGGCAAACAGCCAAAUGUGGCAAAUACUUGUAAUCCUAGCACUUGGGAGAUGGAGACAGGAAGGCCAGGAGUUCAAGGUUACUAUCUUUCGCUGCAUGAGACCCUAUGUCAAAAAAUAAAAACAAACAAAUAAAAUCCACAGAAGAGGGCGAGGGAGGAGACUUUUGUAACUAAGAUUGACUGGCAAGUAUGCCAGCAUCUUCCUUUGGGUAGAAUUUUGGUAAACAGAUUUUCCUAAACGGCUUCCUGGCAGUUUCUUCUCAUGCCGUGUUAAACACAAGUAGGACUGAUUUUCAAAAUAGGUAGUUAAAGCUAUGAAGUGGUACAUGACUUUUAAACUAGUACUUGGGAGGCUGGGACAGGACGAUCAGAAGUUCAAGGCCAGUCUCAGUAUAGUCUGGACUAGCUGAAACUACACCCCAACACACACACACACAUACACACACACACACACACACACACACACACACACACACACACACACACCACACACACACCUUGCCACAAACUCACAGCUAUUUAUGACUCAUGUUCCAGAAGAAAUGAUGUCCUCUUCUGGCCUGCAAGGACAUCAGGCAAGCACACGGUGUACAGACAUAUAUGCAGGCAAAAUACCCAUAGACAUAAAUAUAUAAAAUAAAAACAAUAAAAAUCCCAGUGUAGUUCAAAUGGUCUGUAGAAACAACUGCAAUUUCUACCUUACUAAUUAACUAUUAAAAAACAUUUGUGUGUGUACAUGUGUAUGUGUACACAUGUUGGCAAACUCCAUGCAGAGGACAUUAAUUAGAGCUACUGGCAGUUGUAAGGAUACUGAUAAUGGAGUUCAGGGCUACUCAGUAGAGACUCAUGAUGUUGACUAUACAUUGAGGAUACUGAAAGUGGGUGCUGGGAACACAAAGAUGAUUAUCACGUAGAAUAUAUAGUUGAUAGGCAAGGCCGAUCAGAUCACAGGAGAACAACUUAAGCACAUAACCUUUUGCCUAUUUCCAAUCCUCAUAAUUCCUAGUUGGAGUCAUAUUGGCUAUGUUAACCGCCAAAGAGGAACGGUGCUGGCUGAAACUGAUUUGCCCUCCUCUGUGUCCAUGACCACAUGUGAGUGGGAAUUUCAUGAUUUGUUUUCUGUCUAACUGAAGGGUGGUUUUCUAGAGAGGCCAUAGGUACCUUGUUCAUUCCAAGGGCCGGGUAUCCUUUUCUAUUUUAAUCUCCACGUUGUAUUGAUGUGAAGCUCUUCAAAUAUACUAAGUCUGAUCUACAGAAAGUGG
rnacentral:lncRNA from 1 species